UACGUAGGGCGCAAGCGUUGUCCGGAAUUAUUGGGCGUAAAGAGCUUGUAGGCGGUUUGUCGCGUCUGCUGUGAAAACUCGAGGCUCAACCUCGGGCUUGCAGUGGGUACGGGCAGACUAGAGUGCGGUAGGGGAGACUGGAAUUCCUGGUGUAGCGGUGGAAUGCGCAGAUAUCAGGAGGAACACCGAUGGCGAAGGCAGGUCUCUGGGCCGCAACUGACGCUGAGGAGCGAAAGCAUGGGGAGCGAACAGG
rnacentral:rRNA from 1 species